rnacentral:rRNA from 1 species
AGGAUGAACGCUGGCGGCGUGCCUAACACAUGCAAGUCGAGCGAUCUUCUUCGGAAGAGAGCGGCGGACGGGUGAGUAACGCGUGGGUAACCUGCCCUGUACACACGGAUAACAUACCGAAAGGUAUGCUAAUACGGGAUAAUAUAUGAGAGUCACAUGACUUUCAUAUCAAAGCUUUUGCGGUACAGGAUGGACCCGCGUCUGAUUAGCUAGUUGGCAAGGUAACGGCUUACCAAGGCGACGAUCAGUAGCCGACCUGAGAGGGUGAUCGGCCACACUGGAACUGAGACACGGUCCAGACUCCUACGGGAGGCAGCAGUGGGGAAUAUUGCACAAUGGGCGAAAGCCUGAUGCAGCAACGCCGCGUGAGCGAUGAAGGCCUUCGGGUCGUAAAGCUCUGUCCUCAAGGAAGAUAAUGACGGUACUUGAGGAGGAAGCCCCGGCUAACUACGUGCCAGCAGCCGCGGUAAUACGUAGGGGGCUAGCGUUAUCCGGAAUUACUGGGCGUAAAGGGUGCGUAGGCGGUCUUUCAAGCCAGAAGUGAAAGGCUACGGCUCAACCGUAGUAAGCUUUUGGAACUGUAGGACUUGAGUGCAGGAGAGGAGAGUAGAAUUCCUAGUGUAGCGGUGAAAUGCGUAGAUAUUAGGAGGAAUACCAGUAGCGAAGGCGGCUCUCUGGACUGUAACUGACGCUGAGGCACGAAAGCGUGGGGAGCGAACAGGAUUAGAUACCCUGGUAGUCCACGCCGUAAACGAUGAGUACUAGGUGUCGGGGGUUACCCCCCUCGGUGCCGCAGCUAACGCAUUAAGUACUCCGCCUGGGAAGUACGCUCGCAAGAGUGAAA